GACGAACGCUGGCGGCGUGCUUAACACAUGCAAGUCGAGCGGAGCGGCGAACGGGUGAGUAAUGCGUGAGUAACUGCCCCUCUCUCCGGGAUAACAGUUGGAAACGGCUGCUCAUACCGGAUAGUGGGGGAUGACUCGCGUCCUAUCAGCUUGUUGGUGGGGUAGUGGCCUACCAAGGCGACGCAGGAUAGCCGGCCUGAGAGGGAGACCGGCCACAUUGGGCUAAGAUACGGACCAAACACCUACGGGAGGAAGCAGUGGAAAAGAUUGCAAAAUGGGGGAAACCAUGAUGCAGCAACGACGGGGGCGGGAUGACUGCCAUAGGGUUGUAAACCGCUUUCAGCCGUGACGAGGGAAUGGCAAAAGAAGCACCGGCUAAAUGCGGGCCAGCAGCAGCGGUAAUUC
rnacentral:rRNA from 1 species